rnacentral:rRNA from 1 species
AUGAACGCUGGCGGCGUGCCUAAUCCAUGCAAGUCGAGCGAACGGACGAGAAGCUUGCUUCUCUGAUGUUAGCGGCGGACGGGUGAGUAACACGUGGAUAACCUACCUAUAAGACUGGGAUAACUUCGGGAAACCGGAGCUAAUACCGGAUGAUAUUUUGAACCGCAUGGUUCAAAAGUGAAAGACGGUCUUGCUGUCACUUAUAGAUGGAUCCGCGCUGCAUUAGCUAGUUGGUAAGGUAACGGCUUACCAAGGCAACGAUGCAUAGCCGACCUGAGAGGGUGAUCGGCCACACUGGAACUGAGACACGGUCCAGACUCCUACGGGAGGCAGCAGUAGGGAAUCUUCCGCAAUGGGCGAAAGCCUGACGGAGCAACGCCGCGUGAGUGAUGAAGGUCUUCGGAUCGUAAAACUCUGUUAUUAGGGAAGAACAUAUGUGUAAGUAACUGUGCACAUCUUGACGGGACCUAAUCAGAAAGCCACGGCUAACUACGU